GGAGCUGUGGCUCAAAUGGUAGAGUGCUUGUCUAGCAUGCAUGAAGCCCUGGGUUCGAUUCCUCAGCACCA
rnacentral:tRNA from 1 species